ACUGCCCUAGCGGAGAGAAGUUUUCCUGCUUCGAAUUGCUCAUGCACAUGUGCCACGACAUCUAACCCCUGCGAAGAACUCCGAGAUAGCACUUGUCCAGAAGGCUACUUCCGCAGAUGCAGUAGUGACAUGCACGGAUGUACUUGCCGAUGUGAUAUUUAAUAGAAACCUGCACCAUGGCAAGCUGCGGUCGUCUUCAAGAUAUCAUUUCGCUUCUACAAAGAAAGUGUUUCGAGUAGCUGAAUUUAGUGCCGCCUUGAUUUCACUCUUAUUUGGUUCUUGUGAAAAAUGAUAUUUUCAUUACCUGUGGCUCCUCAUAAGCAGUUGAGUUUUUUUUACAAGGACAAAAUAGAUUUAUUCUGUUUGACUAAUGGGCCAGUGAAAUGCACUAAAAGC